rnacentral:rRNA from 1 species
GCUUUCGAUGGUAGUGUAUUGGACUACCAUGGCAGUCACGGGUAACGGAGAAUUAGGGUUCGAUUCCGGAGAGGGAGCCUGAGAAACGGCUACCACAUCUACGGAAGGCAGCAGGCGCGUAAAUUACCCAAUCCUGAUUCAGGGAGGUAGUGACAAGAAAUAACAACUCGGGGCCUCACGGCUUACGAGAUUGCAAUGAGAACAAUUUAAAUCUCUUAGCGAGGAACAAUUGGAGGGCAAGUCUGGUGCCAGCAGCCGCGGUAAUUCCAGCUCCAAUAGCGUAUAUUAAAAGUUGUUGCAGUUAAAAAGCUCGUAGUUGAAUUUCUGAUUAUGGAUGUAGCGGUUUCCGUUACAUUUGUAGUCAUCCACAUGAGAACCUUUCUCGGCCUUCACUGGUCGGUUGGGGGAGUCAUGUACUUUACUUUGUAAAAAAUCAGAGUGUUUCAGGCAGGCGUUUGCAUGAAUACACAAGCAUGGAAUAAUGGAAUAGGACUAGGUCCAUUUAUGGUAUUGGACCAUAGUAAU